rnacentral:rRNA from 1 species
AACGAACGCUGGCGGCAUGCCUAACACAUGCAAGUCGAACGAGACCUUCGGGUCUAGUGGCGCACGGGUGCGUAACGCGUGGGAACCUGCCCUUAGGUUCGGAAUAACUCCCCGAAAGGGGUGCUAAUACCGGAUAAUGUCUUCGGACCAAAGAUUUAUCGCCUUUGGAUGGGCCCGCGUUGGAUUAGCUAGUUGGUAGGGAAAAAGCCUACCAAGGCGACGAUCCAUAGCUGGUCUGAGAGGAUGAUCAGCCACACUGGGACUGAGACACGGCCCAGACUCCUACGGGAGGCAGCAGUGGGGAAUAUUGGAAAAUGGGCGAAAGCCUGAACCAGCAAUGCCGCGUGAGUGAUGAAGGCCUUAGGGUUGUAAAGCUCUUUUACCCGGGAUGAUAAUGACAGUACCGGGAGAAUAAGCUCCGGCUAACUCCGUG